rnacentral:rRNA from 1 species
CGAACGCUGGCGGCGUGCCUAACACAUGCAAGUCGAACGUGAAAGUCCUUCGGGAUGAGUAAAGUGGCGCACGGGUGAGUAACGCGUAGAUAAUCUACCCGAUGAUCUGGGAUAACAUUCCGAAAGGGGUGCUAAUACCGGAUAAGCCCACGGAAUCUUAGGAUUCUGCGGGAAAAGGGGGGGACCUUCGGGCCUUCUGUCAUCGGAUGAGUCUGCGUACCAUUAGCUAGUUGGUGGGGUAAGAGCCCACCAAGGCGACGAUGGUUAGCUGGUCUGAGAGGAUGAUCAGCCACACUGGAACUGAGACACGGUCCAGACUCCUACGGGAGGCAGCAGUGGGGAAUUUUGCGCAAUGGGGGAAACCCUGACGCAGCAACGCCGCGUGAGUGAUGAAGGCCUUCGGGUCGUAAAGCUCUGUCAGAGGGAAAGAAAUGUAUUAUGGCUAAUAUCCAUGAUACUUGACGGUACCCUCAAAGGAAGCACCGGCUAACUCCGUGCCAGCAGCCGCGGUAAUACGGAGGGUGCGAGCGUUGUUCGGAAUUAUUGGGCGUAAAGCGCGUGUAGGCGGUCUUUUAAGUCUGAUGUGAAAGCCCCGGGCUCAACCUGGGAAGUGCAUUGGAUACUGGGAGACUUGAAUACGGGAGAGGGCAGUGGAAUUCCUAGUGUAGGAGUGAAAUCCGUAGAUAUUAGGAGGAACACCGGUGGCGAAGGCGGCUGCCUGGACCGAUAUUGACGCUGAGACGCGAAAGCGUGGGGAGCAAACAGGAUUAGAUACCCUGGUAGUCCACGCCGUAAACGAUGAGUACUAGGUGUUGCGGGUACUGACCCCUGCAGUGCCGCAGCUAACGCAUUAAGUACUCCGCCUGGGAAGUACG